rnacentral:rRNA from 2 species
AAAUUGAAGAGUUUGAUCAUGGCUCAGAUUGAACGCUGGCGGCAGGCCUAACACAUGCAAGUCGAACGGUAACAGGAAGCAGCUUGCUGCUUCGCUGACGAGUGGCGGACGGGUGAGUAAUGUCUGGGAAACUGCCUGAUGGAGGGGGAUAACUACUGGAAACGGUAGCUAAUACCGCAUAAUGUCGCAAGACCAAAGAGGGGGACCUUCGGGCCUCUUGCCAUCGGAUGUGCCCAGAUGGGAUUAGCUUGUUGGUGGGGUAACGGCUCACCAAGGCGACGAUCCCUAGCUGGUCUGAGAGGAUGAC